rnacentral:rRNA from 1 species
UACGUAGGGUGCAAGCGUUGUCCGGAAUUAUUGGGCGUAAUGAGCUCGUAGGCGGUCUGUCGCGUCGGCUGUGAAAACCCGGGGCUCAACCCCGGGCCUGCAGUCGAUACGGGCAGACUAGAGUGCGGUAGGGGAGACUGGAAUUCCUGGUGUAGCGGUGAAAUGCGCAGAUAUCAGGAGGAACACCGGUGGCGAAGGCGGGUCUCUGGGCCGUAACUGACGCUGAGGAGCGAAAGCGUGGGGAGCGAACAGG